rnacentral:rRNA from 1 species
GGAACGAACGCUGGCGGCAUGCCUAACACAUGCAAGUCGAACGAGACCUUCGGGUCUAGUGGCGCACGGGUGCGUAACGCGUGGGAACCUGCCUUGAGGUUCGGAAUAACUUCCCGAAAGGGAUGCUAAUACCGGAUGAUGUCUUCGGACCAAAGAUUUAUCGCCUUUAGAUGGGCCCGCGUUGGAUUAGCUAGUUGGUGGGGUAAAGCUUACCAAGGCGACGAUCCAUAGCUGGUCUGAGAGGAUGAUCAGCCACACUGGGACUGAGACACGGCCCAGACUCCUACGGGAGGCAGCAGUGGGGAAUAUUGGACAAUGGGCGAAGGCCUGGAUCCAGCAAUGCCGCGUGAGUGAUGAAGGCCUUAGGGUGUAAAGCUCUUUACUGGGAUGGAUAAUGACAGUACCCAGAGAAUAAGCUCCGGCUAACUCCGUGCCAGCAGCCGC